UAUUCUGCCCAAGCGGGAAGGAUGAGAAGCUUCGACUAAGGUUCGAUUCGAGCGUUAGCGAGAAAGCGUUGCCGCAGGCAACGACCCGAAGGGCGA
rnacentral:sRNA from 1 species